CUGGUUUAGGACAAGACGCCACGCAGAACCAGUGAAGGACACAGGAGAAGCCGUUUAUGUCAACAGUGCAGUUGUGUUACAUCCACCAUGAGCCAGAAUGAGAGGAAGACGAUGUCAUCUUCACCUUACUGUGUUGUUAAUUCUGCAUGUAUUAGUCUUAGUGGGCCACUUGCAAUGAAGUGUAGCUUUUCUCUAAAUACUCAUUGCUAUUAUUCUUAAAGGUUUGAAUACUUAUUUAUUUAUUUGUUUCUGCUUUCUCUUUGUUAAAAUCAACAUAAAAUGUAAGAGCAUCUUCUUUAAUUAUUUAUCUCAAGUUGAACUUUUGUUCUUAAAACACCAAAAAGAUGCUUAGACCAUGUGACACUUUCAUAUCUUAACUGGUGUUUCCAUUGGAUGCAUGUAAAGUGUAAAUUAAAUAAAAAAUGGUUU